UAUUCAAGAUGGCGUAUAACUUGAAAGUUCAAUUUCGAUGUUCAUUUAAAUUGUUUCUAUAAUUUUGUAUGUUACAAAAUGAGUUCUAGAAGAUGGUUUUGGCCGACAAUUAGUGGAAUUGACGCAGAAAAAUUGUUAAUGGAAAGAGGGUUGGACUGCAGUUUUUUAGCACGACCUAGUUCUUCGAAUCCCGGUGAUUUUACUUUAUCUGUCAGACGCAAUGGAGAAGUGACUCACAUCAAGAUCCAGAACUCUGGAGAUUUUUAUGACUUAUACGGGGGUGAGAAAUUCGCUACUCUCUCUGAAUUAGUUCAGUAUUAUACAGAGAAACAGGGGCAAUUGAAGGAAAAGAAUGGUGAAAUUAUAGAACUCAAGUACCCUCUUAAUUGCGCUGAUCCUACUACUGAACGGUGGUUUCAUGGACAUUUAUCUGGAAAAGAAGCAGAAAAACUCAUAUUAGACAGAGGAAAGAAUGGUAGUUUUUUAGUUAGGGAAAGUCAAUCUAAACCAGGAGAUUUCGUAUUAUCUGUACGAACAGACGACAAAGUCACGCAUGUGAUGAUAAGGUGUACACCGGAUAACAGAUACGACGUUGGAGGCGGCGAACAAUUUAACAGUCUCGCCGAUUUGAUAGAACAUUACAAAAGAAAUCCGAUGGUCGAAACUUCCGGUACAGUUGUUCAUCUGAAACAACCUUUUAACGCCACAAGAAUAAAUGCAUCUGGAAUCCAUUCUAGAGUGAAACAAUUGCAAAGCGACAAUGGUCCUAAUAGUUUUGGGAAAGCUGGAUUUUGGGAGGAAUUCGAGUCACUACAACAACAGGAAUCGAAACAUUUAUAUCAUAGAAAGGAAGGUGUCAAACCGGAAAAUCGAAACAAAAACAGAUACAAAAACAUACUACCAUUUGAUAACACUCGGGUGAAACUUAAAGACGUAGAUCCGACUGUACCCGGAAGUGAUUAUAUCAACGCCAAUUACAUAAGAUGGAGAGUAGACGAGACCAUCGGUUCCGAAUUGGGUGGUGAUCCAAGUGGUAAAGUCUACAUCGCCACCCAGGGUUGUCUACCUACUACCAUCGCUGAUUUUUGGCAGAUGGUAUGGCAAGAAAAUUGUCAAGUAAUCGUCAUGACCACCAAAGAGACGGAAAGAGGGAAAAACAAAUGUGCCAGAUAUUGGCCCGAUGUAAAUUGUACAAAAGAAUAUGAAAAAAUUAAAGUUAGGAAUUUGUUGGAGUCUCAUACAUUGCAUUAUACUUUGAGAGAAUUUUUAGUUAGUAUCGAAGGAUCAAAUUGUGAAAGGAAGGUGUUCCAUUAUCAUUUUCAGGCGUGGCCCGACCAUGGUGUACCUUCUGACCCAGGCUGUGUUUUAAAUUUUCUACAUGAAGUCAAUAAACGUCAGGAAUCGUUACAAAUAGAAUUCCCAUUACAGCCCCCGGGGGCUAUUCUAGUGCAUUGUUCCGCUGGUAUCGGUCGCACGGGCACAUUUAUAGUAAUUGACAUGAUUUUGGACCAGUUGAAAAAAUAUGGUCUUGAUUGUGAAAUCGACAUCCAACGUACAAUUCAAAUGGUGAGAUCUCAACGUUCCGGAAUGGUACAGACUGAAGCACAAUAUAAAUUUGUUUACUUAGCAGUACAACAUCAUAUAGAAACUACUACAGAAAGAAUGAAGGCUGAACAAAAAUCCAUGCAACUCGGAAGAGAAUACACAAACAUAAGGUACAGUAAUGAUAUAGGAAAUAGUUGUAUGUCUCCAACAACACCAGGCGGUUUCGGAAGUAUUUCAUCACCAAAUAAUCAUCGUUGUAGUACAACCAGUAUCACAUGUCCCAGUGUUAAUUCAGUUACUUUGAGACAGGAUAUUAAGAAACCGCAGAGAGCUUUGUCCGAAAUAUCGUUGCCAAGGGUUGAAUUAGAAGUAGAAUGUUUCGUAUAGAUGCUCAUAUUAUCUACGUGGUCCUUAACAAAACUGACGAAAAUGCUGGCAAACUAUCUCAGAGAAUAUCAUAAAAUAUAUAUCACCUCCGGAUGAUUUAGUGAAACCUUCUCUAUACGAAAACAUUCCCGGUAAUCCUGCAGGAUCAAUAAUUUGUCCUGUACCGCCCCCUCCGCCUAGAAAAGCCACGUGACCUAAGAAAAAAUUUACAUUAUAUUCCAGUUAUAUUUAUACCUUCCCGAUAUGUAAAGAAUGUAACUAGUAGUUGUUUAAAAAAGAAAAAAAAUACCUGUUUAUAAAUAUCCUUGAAUAAAUUAUUUUAUUUAUAUUGAGGUAAUUUUAAAAAGUGAAACUUGGAUUUUAUUAUUAUAAAAGGUGUCCCAAAAUUUACGCAAAAUUUGAAUUAAAUAGCUGGAUGUCCACGUGGAUAUGAAUUUGUUAGCACAAGAAAUCCAGUAUUGUUGAACAUCUGAAAUGAAGGAGUACAUAGCUUUGAAAUUUCUCUAGGAAUAAUUGCAAUGUUUCAGAAUAAAGUUUUUCCAAUAAUACCAUCCAAACUAGGAAAAAAAUAUCCAGUACUAAAAAUAUUCGUUUUUUAAACAACUUGUUUAUUGAAAUGUUUACUCUCGAUGACAGUUGGCUUCAAAUUUAGUAUUUAUUACUGCGUGAAAAUACAAAAUUUUAAAUUAAAAAAAUGAAUUUAGACGAUUCUAGUGAUGGUGAAUUAGAAUACGUCAAGGUCUAGAAAAUUCAAAAAUUUUGUAGGUAGUUUCAACAUUUCAGUAAGGCCUCCAUAUUGCGUUACGUCAUAGGUAUAAAAUAAAGACUGAACAUAUGAUAUAAAAUAAAACGAUUCUCUCGGUUUUUCUAAAAUAAGCGUUACUAUUAAACUUUAAUUAAUCUCGAAAAUGGUAUAUAAUAUGUGUUUUGUGCCAGGAUGUGAAAAUACCACGACUAAAACACCUGAUGAUUAAGUUUUUUUUUAUAAUGCCAAGAAAUUCGAAUAUACUACAAAAAUGGUUUGAAUGUGUUGAUCGUUUUGACGAUUAUUUUAAUGUAAGUAAGUUUGAAAUUCAACUUAUUUUUAUAUCUUAUAGUAAUUAAGUUUUCUACGCUUUUAAUUUUCAACGUGAUUAUGUAAUAAUGCAAGAACUUAACCUAUAAAAGGUUUAUUCACUUAUAUAUAGAAAAAUGUAUUAUUUAUACAUGACUAAUAAAUAAAAACUUUAUUGUAACAGCACACGCUACGUUGCCGGCAAUGAUAACCUCGUGAUCAUCAAUCUGACAACUGCUCAAUGUUUUUAUUAAACCCCUGACGUUACAAUUGAAAAGCAAUGGGAAUCGUUUUCUCAUGUAGUUGAAAAUUUGAAAUUUUUGCGAUUUUCAAUUAAAUAUCAAGAACUUAUAAAAUAAACAAAAAAAUAAAUACUUUCUAAAAAAUGCAAGUACUCUAUUUUUAUAUGAUUCCUUGCCCCAAUAUUAGUGAACUGUAGUUUAUAGUGAAAUCUAAUUUUACUAUUGAACAGUUCAUUGUAGGUUGAUGGCAUAAUAAUCAACAUCAAUUAAAAGAUUUACUCUUGUCAAGUUUAAAACAAAAAAUAUUGAAAUGUAUCUCCUUGUAAAAACCAGGAGAGUUAAUAUUGAAAUUAUUGCAAUAAUAUUAAAAAUUUUCACUAGUUAGCCUGAUACAUUUUAUACUGAACACACUGUUUACACCAACACUCACAAUUACACUGUCUAACGCGCGUUUCUAACCAAGUUAUCGUCUUCACAGACUGUUUCAGUGUAAUUUAUAGUGGUGGUGUAAACAGUGUAAUUGUGAGUGUUGGUGUGAACAGUGUGUUCAGUAUGAAUAUCCCCAACGGUUCCAAAAAUUCUAACUUAACGAUACACAUGUGAUUUAUUCGAAGCUGGUAGUUUGCUGAAAAUGAAUAGAAAUGAUAUAAUUUUUUUGAAACCGACAUGCACACGCGGCAGUGUGCUUUUACAUUGUUUUUUCUUAGAUGAAAAAGGUACCAUUACCAAUUUUCGUGAUAUUUGAUAUAGAGUGAAGCGCAAUUCGUUUCCAAACCUUUAGAUAUUUACUAGGUUUUGUGUCAAUUGAAAUUUUCAAGCACGCAGAAAAAAAUCUUCGGAGCUUUUUAUCAAUUUCUAUUUUAUAAUAGAAGCAAAACAAAUUUUGUAAUAAUGUUGGGAUACCUUUUGAUAGGCCGAAACAACAGUAUGUGAUUUAACAUCAUGAAAAAUUCAGUUCAAGGUUGUCAAUUUCAGAACGUCAUACAUUUUGUAACUUUCCAUCGCUAGUAACUAGACUAGACUAGUUUAAAGCUAUCUAUGUGUAGUUCUUUUGAAAAAUUUCUUUAUUCUCUCGCUCUUUCCAAACACACUAUUGAAAUUAUCUACUGUAUUUUCGUUUAUAUAAUAUAUAGGAUAUAUUGAAAUAAAAAGAUUUCUCAUCCAUACUAUAUGUGUAUAGAAAACAGAAUAGCAUCAAAAGUAUCAAAGUGAUCAAAAAUAUUUUGUGAUGUAUUAUUUUUCCAAUGAUGAAUGGAGUUACAGAUUAUAUUGGAUGUUUGAAUAUAAUAAUGUGCUUCUGCAGAAUUUUUAUUUAUAUAAUUGUUUAAACAACUCGAUGUUCGAUCAUCAUGCAAAAAGUAUUUAUUUAUACAAAUAAAACCAUUUGAAAAAAUAAAAAUAAAUCAACAAUUCUCCCUUUUAGAGGUUUAUUUUAUCCAAAUUGUAUCACCCGUGCCACUCUCCACUUUUUCUAAUAAAUAUUGUCUCCACUGCUUCUAAAUACAUACACUUAACGGCAAAUAAACAUGACACUCAGAUUUGCUCUUGUAAAUUUGUCGAAUAUAUUGAUCUUUUUAAUUUGAGGUAAGAAUUGGUUAAUUUAUAAGUUAUUUAUACCAAAUCUGCCCCAAAUUAAUACUUUUUAUAAAUCGAAGAAAUAGAAUUUUGGACGUACUCCACCGACAUUCUUUAUGGAGAGUAAUUUAGAGCUGAUUUAAGUCACUAGAAGGAGGAUGACGAUAUCUAGCACACUUCCCUAAAUUAUUCACAAAUGAUCUAUAAGUUGAAUAUUGGUAAAUCGUGCUGGAUAGUCAAGAUCUGUGAUUCCCAUUUGCUCCAAGUAUUCUGUAACAGUUCUGGCGGUAUGUGGACGGGAAUUAUCCUGUAUUGAAUUGAAUUUUUCGCCAAUAAAUGAAGUAAAUGAGAUCACAACUUCUAGAAAUACUUCCUCGAUGUACCUCAGAACAGUCAAAGCCCAGUAUAUCAAUUCUGCUCUUACGUGGAAAUUAAUUUCACCCCAAACCAUAACUAAUUUUUUUCAAUGAUUGUAAUCAGCGAAAAGUACAUUCGCUUCCCUGAUUGCAUCCACACUAUCUCGAUCAUCUGAUUUGUAUAGACCAAAACGAGACUCGUCUGAGACUAAGGUAACGCAUUUCUCUUCGAUGCCUUUCCAAGAUUCGAAGCAUCGUCGCGAGUCACCUUUACACAUAUGUUUCGCGCCAUUUCAAGUCUCUCUUGAAGCGUUUGAGCUAUUAAAUAUCGGUCUCUUACUAUCAUUGUUGUCCUUGGUCGUCCACUGUUUGCUCUCAGAUCGUACCUAUCAGUCUUCCGGAAACGACUAAUCACAUCGUGAAUGGUAGACUUCGCUACCGCAAGCAUUUAUGCGAUGUUUCGGCCUUCUCUCGCCAAGGCAUCAGCUCGGGCUAUGCCUACAUAACUAUUAUUCUGGACCAUAAUAAAAAAAUAAGUCUAAUAAUGAUACAACAGGUUUGGUUAAUAAUUUGAUAAAUCAACUUCAAGACAAAUAAAUCAGAGCCUUAUCUAAUGUUCUACUAAUCCUGAUCUUAAGGCACUACAUUGUCAAUAAUAAUCAGAUUACCUACGGAAACUAACACAUUCAUCGCAAUUAGCCUUCACUACGAAAAAUAUGAAGUGUCCAGUUUUUCAUGCUAUUUCAGUUUAUUUUUGAGACCAAUUACAUCCUAUUCAAAACUAUUGAAAGUUUCUGUCUAAAGACGUCACGUCUAACUUUCCUGCCUCAUUAUAUAACAGUUAAACUGAAUGAAGUAGUUAAAUAUUGGAGAUGCAUUUAAGUACUGGAGGAAGAGACUUGACUAUCACAUGAAACUACCAAAAAGGGACACAAGAGUUUCAUUGGCCAUUUGACACACUAUAAUUUUUACUACCAAGUGCAUCUUAUGAAUCAGAAAUGCACUUUAGACAGGUAUGUUAUUUAACUUUUAAGAUAAAAAUUUCGAUUAACACUUUCUAUUGUGUAUAAACAAUAAUUGUUAUUUACUAUUAUUGUUAUAUCGCCCACUUCGUAAUAUCUACUCUAAUAAUGUAAACAGAAGAGCAUUCUAAUUUUUGAAACUUGAAAAAUGUAGUGUAAUUUAAAUCUGGAGAGUGUGGAUUGAAUAAUGACCCCCGUACAUUGUUUUGUGAAAACCCCUGGAGAGGGUUCAACUUUUUGAAGUGAAAAAGAUCAGAGGUAGAGUUGAGUAGACGAUAAUUGUAAGUAGGUACUUAUUAUUAGUUAUAAAUAAGAGGACUUUUUAACACAAUUUGAAAAACUAAUCCGCCUUAAUAAGUGCCUUCUUAUUUUACUAAUCAGAAUUGGAUCUUCAGUUCAAGAAGACGUCUAGAAUAGAAUAUGGAAAGUUCUCAUUAUGAAUCUUGAGUGAUUCUAGUAGGAAGAGUUCUGACUUUUAAAAUAUGAUAAAAGUAUACAAAAUUUACACAUAAAAUAAUAUUUUAGUGUUAUAUUAAAUAGCCGGGAGAAUUAGCAGAUGGCUUACACCUAAUAUUUGAACUUAUAAUUUAUAUACUUCCAAUUGAUGUAUUAGAGAUUAUUAGAAGUUUUCUUUGUGGAAUUAAUACUGAAGAUUGAAGACAUUUUUACAACAUUACAAACAUUUCUUCCAAUUUUCUUCUUCUUUCUAACAAGUAUAAGCCCAGCAUUCUCACCAUCGUUUAAGUGACUUUCCUUGUGGUCUUCCUCCUUCUGGGUUAUUCAUUUUUUCGUUCUUAACAAGUCCACUGUCUUCCAUUCUUUUCAUAUGCAUUUUCCAGAAUUUUCGUUUCUGAUUCAUCCACCUUCCUAUGUUCUGUAUUCCACUUUGCUGUUUAAUAUCAUCAUUCCGUAUUCUGUCUUGUAGAGUUUUCACUUGUAUACUUCUUAGUAUUUUCAUUUCGACUACUCUGGUCGUCUGUAGUGUCUUAAUCGUAUCUGGUCUUGUUUUUGUUGCGUAUGUAAUGAUAGGUCUUACAGUCCUUUUAUAUAACUUGAUUUUACUUACGGUAUUUGUUCUUUCUAAAUUUCAGGCAUACCGAAUUACGAGACGCUUUCAUUGUUUGUUCUCUUAUUUCAUUAAAAAGGUUUCUCUAUGAUUCUUUUUUCCACUCCCAGUUUUCUUAAAUGAAAAAAUGUUUAAAUCUUAUCGGUUCUUUGGACUUUACUAAGCAUUUCGUCUUCUCGUUGUUGAUGGGCAUGUUUAAUUGUUUUGCUUUAUUGAUAAAGUUCUUCAAUUACAGAUAAUCUGGCCCAUUAUUAGAUUCAAUGAUAGUAGUGUUAUUUUGAAUACUCAGUAAUGAGCAUUAAUCAACUUAUAUUGUUAAAACAAAUUAUAUUUUGUAUAUAUUAGGGUUAUGCAAAAUAUUUUGUCGAGAGCUUAUUUUUUCAAUUUGAUGAAAUUAGUUAUGAUUAUUAUUUAUUACUUAUUAUUAUGUUUUGUAUAAUUAUCACUUUUUAGCGUAAAAAUAACGGUGCUAAUUAAUGUUUUAAGCUUGUCAGCGUUGUUAAUAUUUUCUCGCAUUUUUAAAUAUUAUUGUGACACUUCAUUAGUUUAAAUUAUAUUUAAACAAAAAAUAAAUAAUCAUUAUAGACA